GUUUCUUUGUUUUCUUUUUAUUCAAAUAAUUUUAAAAUGUGAUGAUGUACACAACAAUAAAUAGUACCUAGUUUAGAGGAUUUUUUCGCGCUUGUUUGUAAACAACGCGCGGCAUUGUGGGAAAUAGGAAGGUACUAAAGACGCGAUGUACUAAACACUUAUUUGACCUGAUUCAAAUUUGUCUGUAAAUGUUCCAAACAAUUGAAUUUUUGUAUAGCAUAUGCCUCGAAGUCAUAAAGUCUGUACAUAAGUAAUUUAAAAUACUCAAUAUUACCAUUUAAUUAAAAAUUAAAACGUCAGGUAAAUAUCAGGUCUCUAGUAUAUCCCGUUUUUAGUGUGCCCCUUCGAGUCGACGUCGGACACAUGUUUGUCAUGGUUUACAAACUGAAAAUAGAAUGAUUUGUGAAGUUGAACAUUUUCUCACAAAGAAUCCGCUUGUAGACAUGCACACUCAUUUAAUCUGGAGCUACGAAGUACUUUGUCACUUCUCUGGAACAUUAUUCUAAGCAGAAUUAUCCCGAUUCAUAUAUUCUAAGAAUCUUGUGUGAAUUGUUUACGAGGAAAUUCUGACUGUCACAUUAACAAGGAUGAACACUCUUGACUCUGCUUCGGAUUCCCCAGUGAUAAUUGUAUCGAGUGAUGAAAGAGCUGACGGCGACAUUUUAAUGUAUGAUUGGCUUGGACCAUUGGAAUGAAGUCAUUUCAUGGUGCCACCACUUGGGAUGGUAUUAGCUGCAAAUAUAGACUUGUACUCAGCACUUAUUGCCUUUAAGAAGUAUGAGAUCCAUUUUGUGCUAACACCUACCGUGACACAGAAUCUUGGUUUAUGCAGUCUCAUAGGAGUAACCUGUCUAAAGCAUUUAGCAAUGGGAUUGGAACCUGCAACGUGUGACUCAUCUGAAGACUGAAUUUUGAUACCAAGCAUGACCAUGAUUUGCCAGAAGAUCAUCUGUUUGGAUGUGACAUGGAAUAAACAGCAUAGUGAAAAUAAGUCAAGUUUUGGUUUGUGAAGACAAUUUUUAAACACACUGUGUAUCAUUUUUAAAUUUUGAUUUGACAACAUAAAUCCACAAAUAUGAACAUAUCAAUUGCUCUCAGUUUUUCAAGUGAAAUAGUUUUUGUAACAGAAAUACAUGUACCAGUAAUUACAUUGGAAUAAAU